CCUCCCACCCUUGUCUCUCUACACCUGUUGCUUUGGCGGGCCCACUGGGGCUCCCUGGUCGCCGGGGGACGCCUGUCCCCGGGCCCGCGCCCGCCGAAGCGCUUCGUGAACCCUGAUGAAGAAGGGCUGUCUGAGUACUAUGAAAAUUGUCAAAACUUUCAACAAUGGAUCUCUUGGUUCCGGCAUCGAUGAAGAACGCAGCGAAAUGCGAUAAGUAAUGUGAAUUGCAGAAUUCCGUGAAUCAUCGAAUCUUUGAACGCACAUUGCGCCCCCUGGCAUUCCGGGGGGCAUGCCUGUCCGAGCGUCAUUUCUGCCCUCAAGCACGGCUUGUGUGUUGGGUGUGGUCCCCCCGGGGACCUGCCCGAAAGGCAGCGGCGACGUCCGUCUGGUCCUCGAGCGUAUGGGGCUCUGUCACUCGCUCGGGAGGGACCUGCGGGGGUUGGUCACCACCACAUUUUCUAUUAUGGUUGACCUCGGAUCAGGUAGGAGUUACCCGCUGAACUUAAGCAUA
rnacentral:rRNA from 1 species